UGGUGCUUGCACUAGAAAAACUUAGCGGCGAACGGGUGAGUAACACGUAAAGAACCUGCCUCAUAGACGGGGACAACUAUUGGAAACGAUAGCUAAUACCGGAUAACAGCAUAAAUCGCAUGAUAUAUGUUUAAAAGUUGGUUUCGGCUAACACUAUGAGAUGGCUUUGCGGUGCAUUAGCUAGUUGGUGGGGUAAAGGCCUACCAAGGCGACGAUGCAUAGCCGACCUGAGAGGGUGAUCGGCCACACUGGGACUGAGACACGGCCCAGACUCCUACGGGAGGCAGCAGUAGGGAAUCUUCCGCAAUGGGCGAAAGCCUGACGGAGCAACGCCGCGUGAGUGAAGAAGGAUUUCGGUUCGUAAAGCUCUGUUGUUAGGGAAGAAUGAUUGUAUAGUAACUAUAUACAGUAGAGACGGUACCUAACCAGAAAGCCACAGCUAACUACGUGCCAGCAGCCGCGGUAAUACGUAGGUGGCAAGCGUUGUCCGGAAUUAUUGGGCGUAAAGCGCGCGCAGGUGGUUUAAUAAGUCUGAUGUGAAAGCCCACGGCUCAACCGUGGAGGGUCAUUGGAAACUGUUAAACUUGAGUGCAGGAGAGAAAAGUGGAAUUCCAUGUGUAGCGGUGAAAUGCGUAGAGAUUAGGAGGAACACCAGUGGCGAAGGCGGCUUUUUGGCCU
rnacentral:rRNA from 1 species